UUAAUCAUUCUUGGGAUAGAGUAGUACUGGGAUGGGUGACCUCCCAGGAAGUCCUAUUGUUUUACAUG
rfam:Picea glauca, whole genome shotgun sequence.